UAGUCCACGCUGUAAACGAUGAUUACUAGAUGUUCGGACUUCGGUCUGAGUGUCCAAGCGAAAGCGAUAAGUAAUCCACCUGGGGAGUACGUUCGCAAGAAUGAAACUCAAAGGAAUUGACGGGGGCCCGCACAAGCGGUGGAGCAUGUGGUUUAAUUCGAUGAUACGCGAGGAACCUUACCUGGGCUACAAUGCCUCUGCUACACCCUGAAAGGGGUGGUUCCUUCGGGACAGAGUGCAAGGUGCUGCAUGGUUGUCGUCAGCUCGUGCCGUGAGGUGUUGGGUUAAGUCCCGCAACGAGCGCAACCCUUGUCUUUAGUUGCCAUCAUUUAGUUGGGCACUCUAGAGAAACUGCCGGUGACAAACCGGAGGAAGGUAAGGAUGACGUCAAGUCAGCAUGCCCCUUACGCUCUGGGCUACACACGUGCUACAAUGGUCGUGACAAAGAGUUGCUAGUCUGCGAAGGCAAGCCAAUCUCAUAAACGCGGCCUUAGUUCGGAUUGC
rnacentral:rRNA from 1 species